UUUUUUUUUUUUUAAUUUAGACUCUUUUACAGAUAAAUAUUUAAAGAUUUGUUAUGGAACUGAAUUGUUGAUUUGUAUAGGUUGCUUGAGCUAUAUCACAAAUUUUGAAGAAUGUUUGGAUAUUUUAUUUGAUCCUCAAAUUCCUGACAUAGUUUACUUCAAAUCAAUGUGAGAUUAAUAUGAGUGGCAUUAUUUUAUUUAGUAAACAUCGUCCAACCAAGACUUUGACUUUAGAAAU
rnacentral:lncRNA from 1 species